CCAGGCCUUAGAACCAAGUUACAUGGGAGACCGUGUUUGCACAAUGUCCUUCAAAGAAUCCAGUAACUUAGCUCCACUGGAUGGGAGCCAAGACAAGCCUUUUUAAUGCCAAAUUCCACUACAGUGGGUCAUGUUAUUGGAUGGCUUCAGUGAAUUUGGGACAGGAAAAAAAGGGCCCUGUUUCCUUUAAUACUUCUUUUUUUUUUUGGACUGAAUUAUCCAGAUAAUUGCUUCACUUUUCAACCGAGCUUGUAGUUGAAGGCACACAGAAGAUGAUCCACUGAGGUUUUUGUUUUGUUUUGUUUUGUUUUGUCUUAGAAAUAAGUGCCAUAAAACAUAUAACUUUAUACAUUUCAAAAAACUCUUAUGGACUUACGCAUCUUUUGUUUGUUGGUUUGUUUGUUUCCUUUUUUUUUUUGUGAUUCAUUCAGAAAAGAUUUGCUGAACCAAACUAAAGAUAUGCGUUGUGAUAUUUGUUUGGGGUGCUCCAGUGAGCUGAAAAAAAUCUCGCAGGUGUUAGGAAAAACACAGGGAAAGGGGGUCAGAAAAAAAAUUCAAAAAUUUCUCCUGAAAUGCUGUUUCCCUAAAGACUCAAGUCACCAUUUUUAAGCAAGUGCCUUUGAAGCCCCCAUGGAGCCUUGAGACCACAGCACCUCUUCUCUCCCAUUCCUUCAAACUGCAAAGUCCUGAAAUACCACUAAAUAAGGGUGAUGUGAAUGGACAUGUCACACAGACUCUCAUGACUACUUGCUCUAUGUCCACCUCUAAAGCUCGUUUGUGGUGUGUGUGUGUGUGUGUGUGUGUGUGUGUGUGUGUGUGUGUGUGUGUGAUUUCUUACAAAUGUAAAAACAACCUGCUCAGUGCAUGUACUCUUACUUGUGUGUACAUAAUUUCAAAACUGGCCACUUGUUAUUGGUGGGGAGCACUUCCUUGGGGUAAAGGCUUUUCUCCUGCUCUCAGCUGUUGCUAACUGCCUAUAGUUCUCUGUCUAGGGUUGGGCUCCAUGAGAUUUCUCACUUCCUUGUUAGUGUAACUGUUGGUAUCACCUUUGUUCCGGUCUAGUUUAGGAGCUCAUGUUGGUGAGUCUUCAUGGGCAUUGGCUGUCCAGGAACGGGAAUUAUAGGUGGUUGUGAGGCUCUGUGUGGGUGCUGGGAGCUGAACCCAAAUCCUCUGGGAGGUUAGCUAGUACUCUUUACUGGUGGGCCAUUUCUCUACUCCUGUACGUUUGAUUUUAAACUGAUUUCCAUUUGUGGCCCACAGGACAGAAUCCACAUGGAUUGCAUGGAUUAUUAUUGUCAAGGCAACUAGUCUCCAGGACAGAGUGCUCUGGAGAGAUGGUUCUGAGGUCACAAAGGGCUCCUCCUGAGGUCUCAGAUGAGAGACGACCAGUGCAUAAGUGUACAGAACUGUCCAGGGCUAGAGAAAGCAUUAAAGAAUGUAACUGGGCAUUCAGAAGGGGUAGGGGCAAGGUUUAGUGUCUGUUCCCAACAGCCAGCCUAGGGGAGAAAAAAACCUCCUCUUCUACAGGGCAUUGAGAAGCAUCAUCUUGCCUCAGAAUUAAGGAAUAAAUAACCAAGACCAAAUGCUGCUGUGGCUCGAGCUAACACAUUUUAAAAGGUUUCAAGGAACUUAACUGCAUCAAAGAACAAAGCUCAAGAUCAUUUGGGGGUAUAAAAAAAAUAUAUCCAGGACCCGACAAGGUAAAAUUCACAAUGUCUGGCUUCUAAUAAAAAGUGCCAAGCAUUCUAAGAAGCAGAAAAAUAUGACUCAUUAUGAGGAAAAUAACCAAUCCACUGAAGUCUGCCCAGAACGAACACGACGUUAAGACGGGUCACAUGGAGCUAGCUGUCAAGUGACCGCCACAGUAAUACUGAAAGCUGAGCUUUGGAAGUCAAGAACCCAGGUCCUCUGACUGCAGAACCAAUUACACCGCCAGAUGAAGAGGUCUAUCCAGCGCUGUAAAGCCUCCCCCACGAUCCCAUGCCAACAUUGAUUUAAACAAUUCUUUUUGAGAAUUCUCUCUGGACUAGCCACUGGGCUACAUUACAGGGCUACAGAAUGUGCGAAAGUAAAUUUUACACAAGCAG